CUUUCCUUAAUAUCUCCAUUCGCAAAUCACCCUACUAAAUAGCCAGAAUUUUCUUUAACAUCCCCACAUCCCUUUCUUUGUUAACAGAUUUAUAAAUCAAAACCAACCCACCAGUUAGUUAUUAUCUCAUCUACGUCUUACGUGAUAGUUUAACUUCUGUUCACUCGAUUCAAUAUCUAAGGCAUACGUAUAUAAUCACUCGAAAGCAUAAAGGACUUGAUCUACAUUUUACUUACUAUAUUACUUAAAAUUGAUUGAUUGAGUCACAAAAAGAAUAAGAUGAACCAAAAGAUAAUAACCUUGAAGAGUGAAGAUUUGAUCAAGACGAGUGGGGGUUUUAGAUUUAGUUCUUUUGGUUUUUUUACUAGGAAUUCAAGGUGGAGGUCGAAGCCGAUCAAGACGAAAAAAGAUUGGCCGAAGAAGUCUAAAUACAUGGAGUUUGGGUAAAAACGGGGUUCUAAUGCAACAAUGUCUAUUACUUUAAUGAAAAUGUAAUAACCAAGUAGAAGUCCCAUGUCAAAGGUAACAACAAGAUUUUAAUUUUUUUGUUAUGGCCAUUUGUAUGAUUAUCUACAGUAGUCUAAUCCGAAAUUGAAAGAUUCAUAGCAACUACAUUGGUUAUGAAACACCAGAACAAUUGAUAGCCCUAAAAAAAGUUUAGUAUGUUCAAUGUGCAACACGAGGAAUGUAAAUGUAACUUCAUUGUAGAUAUGAUAAACAAACCAACUUUGAUGGAGUUGUGUGGAUCUUGCUAAUUUUUUUGAUUUAGUGGCUGAUUCAUUUGUAUGU